CUUAUAUUUUUUAUUUUAUUUUAUAUAUUUAAAUGCCAUUUAACAAAGAAAAAUCAACCAAAAAAAUGAGUUCGCGUGUCACCUCUGACACACGUCAUAGGUUCGCCAUCACUGUCCUAGGCAGACCAGCCCAGCCUCUCCAGAGUUAGGGUGAGACCCCCCCUUCCCCCAUGGUUUGGAGGAGGCACCCCUCCUGCCUUGCUGAGCCCCUCCUGAUGCUCUGCGGGCCCUGGGUCAGUGAAGCCUGAGAAACGAGGACUACGCGCCCAGCUGUUUGGAGGGCCGCCUGCUCUCACCAGACUCAAGCGCUGAGGCCCACGCAGGGGAACAGGUGCCUGAGGGCAGGGCCAAAGCACUUACCUGCCAAGCCUGCCACUGAGCCUGGCCCUGCAGCUGCAGCUCUUCCACCUGCCUGCGCCCGGCCAGGACGGCAUCUGCUAGCUGCCUAUUCUCAGCCUCCUGUCUCUGCACCCGGCGCCGCAGGGCAUCCCGCUGCUGUAGGAAGUAGGGCACCAUGGUGCUGCGCAGGUCUUUCUCUGGGAUCCCACUAGGGCGCCUGGAGAGUGGCAAGGAGCACAGCGACACCAGGCAGCAGGGCUGCCCACUGAGAUGUCAGCUCCAGGAGAACCAGGUCUUUCGUGUCCUGUGCAUUGUGGGAUCUCUGGCACCUACUGGGUGUGUACAGUCCAUGUUCCCUAAAAUUGGUUGAAUGAAC